GGUAGUGUGAGGGUUAAAGUUGGUAAAAGCGCCUGUCUAGUAAGCAGGAUAUCCUGAGUUCAAAUCACAGCAGCGCCU